UACGUAGGUGGCAAGCGUUUGUCCGGAUUUACUGGGCGUAAAGAGCGCGCAGGCGGUCGUUCAAAGUCGCGUGUGAAAGCCCCCCGGCUCAACUGGGGAGGGUCACGCGAUACUGAUCGACUCGAAGGCAGGAGAGGGAAGUGGAAUUCCCGGUGUAGUGGUGAAAUGCGUAGAUAUCGGGAGGAACACCAGUGGCGAAGGCGACUUCCUGGCCUGUUCUUGACGCUGAGGCGCGAAAGCUAGGGGAGCAAACGGG
rnacentral:rRNA from 1 species